rnacentral:rRNA from 1 species
UUACACUUAACAUCCGCCUGGGUAUUACGAACAUCAGUUUAAAACCCCAAGGACUUGGCGGUGCUUAACAUCCACCUAGAGGAGCCUGUUCUAGAACCGAUAAUCCCCGUUCAACCUCACCCUCCCUUGUUCCUUCCCGCCUGUAUACCUCCGUCGUCAGCUUACCCUGUGAAGGCUUAAUAGUAAGCAAGAUUGGCACAUCCCCUAAUACGUCAGGUCAAGGUGCAGCGAAUGAGAGGGGAAGAAAUGGGCUACAUUCGCUAAAAUAGCGAACACGAAUGUUGCAUUGAAACAUACAACUGAAGGAGGAUUUAGCAGUAAGAAGGAAAUAGAGUGUCCUACUGAAACCGGCUCUAAAGCGCGCACACACCGCCCGUCACCCUCCCCUAAAAUAAUAAAUUUUUUAACUAAAACACUACACCCUAUAAAGGAGAGGAAAGUCGUAA